GACGAACGCUGGCGGCGUGCUUAACACAUGCAAGUCGAACGGAAAGGCCCUGCUUUUGUGGGGUGCUCGAGUGGCGAACGGGUGAGUAACACGUGAGUAACCUGCCCUUUACUUUGGGAUAACUGCAGGAAACUGGGGCUAAUACCUGCUAGGAGCUCCUGCUGCAUGGUGGGGGUUGGAAAUUUUCGGCGGUUGGGGAUGGACUCGCGGCUUAUCAGCUUGUUGGUGGGGUAGUGGCUUACCAAGGCUUUGACGGGUAGCCGGCCUGAGAGGGUGACCGGCCACAUUGGGACUGAGAUACGGCCCAGACUCCUACGGGAGGCAGCAGUGGGGAAUAUUGCACAAUGGGCGGAAGCCUGAUGCAGCAACGCCGCGUGCGGGAUGACGGCCUUCGGGUUGUAAACCGCUUUCGCCUGUGACGAAGCGUGAGUGACGGUAAUGGGUAAAGAAGCACCGGCUAACUACGUG
rnacentral:rRNA from 1 species